rnacentral:rRNA from 1 species
UACGGAGGAGGCAAGCGUUAUCCGGGAUUAUUGGGCGUAAAGCGUCCGCAGGUGGCACCUCAAGUCUGCUGUCAAAGACCGGGGCUUAACCCCAGAAAGGCAGUGGAAACUGAAGCGCUAGAGUGCAGUAGGGGUAGAGGGAAUUCCCGGUGUAGCGGUGAAAUGCGUAGAGAUCGGGAAGAACAUCGGUGGCGAAAGCGCUCUGCUGGACUGCAACUGACACUCAGGGACGAAAGCUAGGGGAGCGAAUGGG